UAAGCGUGACAUCAUAUAAAGGGAAUGUACACAACCCCAAAAGUGUCCUGCUGGUUUGUGUUAGCUUCCCUGUUCAGAUCCAUCCUGUGUAGCUCUAGUUAAGCUUUACCAGUUUGAAAAUAGAGAUAUCUGUUUGAACAAAGAGGGAACAAAGGGUUCACUGCGGGGAGAAGCUUCCCUGCACCCAGCAAACAUGGAGCAAAGCUGAUAGGAACAUUUCAAAGAUGGCCAUGAAGACUUAUCUCAGUGAAGCCCCUCAGAAGUCCAGCAUGUUGCCUCAAUGAUUUUAUGAUUCUAAAAUGAACCUCUGAGAGGACAAGCAGACCAGCUCCCUCGCAGCCCAGCACCUUCAAGAGUCUGCCCCAGCCAGAGCUUGUGCUCAUUCUGAGUUUGUUCCAAACAGCAGCUGAGGAGAGACGCGGAGACACAUCUGAGCAAAAAAUCAAGCAUGGAAAGUUCAGAGAAUGCAACGAAGACAGAAGUCCCUUGUAAAAUGAGAGCAGGAAAAACUGCUAACAGAAACAAGUCCAUCAUCAGUGUGGAGCCACCACUCCCCUUUCCAGUGGAGUCUACUUCAGCUCUGAAGCUGAGACUGCCAACGUUACCGUGGAAACCCCCAAAAAUAAAGACUUUCCCAGCCUUGUGAGAGCACACCUGCAAGAGCAAGAACGACAG